rnacentral:rRNA from 1 species
GACGAACGCUGGCGGCGUGCCUAAUACAUGCAAGUAGAACGCUGAAGGAGGAGCUUGCUCUUCUGGAUGAGUUGCGAACGGGUGAGUAACGCGUAGGUAACCUGCCUGGUAGCGGGGGAUAACUAUUGGAAACGAUAGCUAAUACCGCAUAAUAGUAGAUGUUGCAUGAUAUUUACUUAAAAGGUGCAAUUGCACCACUACCAGAUGGACCUGCGUUGUAUUGGCUAGUUGGUGGGGUAACGGCUCACCAAGGCGACGAUACAUAGCCGACCUGAGAGGGUGAUCGGCCACACUGGGACUGAGACACGGCCCAGACUCCUACGGGAGGCAGCAGUAGGGAAUCUUCGGCAAUGGACGAAAGUCUGACCGAGCAACGCCGCGUGAGUGAAGAAGGUUUUCGGAUCGUAAAGAUCUGUUGUAAGAGAAGAACGAGUGUGAGAGUGGAAAGUUCACACUGUGACGGUAUCUUACCAGAAAGGGACGGCUAACUACGUG